GAUGAAGAACGCAGCGAAAUGCGAUAAGUAGUGUGAAUUGCAGAAUUCAGUGAAUCAUCGAAUCUUUGAACGCACAUUGCGCCCUUGGUAUUCCAAAGGGCAUGCCUGUUCGAGCGUCAUUUGUACCCUCAAGCUUUGCUUGGUGUUGGGCGUCUUGUCUCUAGCUUUGCUGGAGACUCGCCUUAAAGUAAUUGGCAGCCGGCCUACUGGUUUCGGAGCGCAGCACAAGUCGCACUCUCUAUCAGCAAAGGUCUAGCAUCCAUUAAGCCUUUUUUUCAACUUUUGACCUCGGAUCAGGUAGGGAUACCCGCUGAACUUAAGCAUAUCAAUAAGCGGAGGA
rnacentral:misc_RNA from 1 species